rnacentral:tRNA from 1 species
GCCUGGCUGGCUCAGUCGGAAGAGCAUGGGACUCUUAAUCCCAGGGUUGGGGUUUCAGUCCCCUGUUGGGUG